rnacentral:sRNA from 1 species
AAGGAACCAUCGUAAGAAUUGCCCCACCUGCUAUCCUGAACAACAACUUCGAGAUUAAGAGUGGUCUCAUCUCGAUGAUUUAGGGGAACAAAUUCCAUGGUCUGCCAAUGGAGGAUCCACUCGACCACCUUGAUGAAUUCGAUAGGCUCUGCAACCUAACAAAGAUCAAUGGUGUCAGUGAAGACGGAUUCAAGCUCCGUUUGUUUCCAUUCUCCUUGGGCGAUAGAGCACACAUCUGGGAGAAGAAUCUGCCCCAUGACUCAAUCACCACCUGGGAUGAUUGCAAGAAGGCUUUUCUAUCAAAGUUCUUCUCCAACGCCAGAACUGCAAGACUCAGAAAUGAGAUCUCUGGCUUUUUACAGAAGGCUGGUGAAAUGCUUCUGUGAAGCAUGGGAGCGUUUCAAGGGUUAUACCAACCAAUGCCCUCAUCAUGGCUUCACUAAAGCCUCUCUGCUCAGCACUCUAUACAUGGAGUCCUACCACGCAUCAGAAUGCUUCUGGAUACCGCCUGCAAUGGGAAUUUCCAGAACAAGGAUGUUGAAGAAGGCUGGGAAUUGGUUGAGAACUUAGCUCAAUCAGAUGGUAAUUACAACGAGGACUGUGAUAGGACCGUUAGAGGCACAUCUGAAUUUGAUGACAAACACAGAAAGGAGAUCAAAGCGCUGAAUGACAAGCUGGACAGAAUUCUCCUUAGCCAGCAGAAGCAUGUGCACUUCCUUGUUGAUGACGAGCAGUAUCAAGUCCAAGAUGGGGAGGGUAACCAGUUGGAAGAAGUUAGCUACAUCAACAAAAACCAGGGUGGCUACAAAGGAUACAACAACUUCAAAACUAACAACCCGAACCUCUCCUACCGCAGCACCAACGUUGCUAAUCCACAAGACCAAGUCUAUCCUCCACAGCAACAACAAGUCCGAACAAACCUUUUGUUCCCUACAACCAAGGUUUCGUUCCCAAGCAGCAAUUCAAGGGGAACUACCAGCCGCAACUACCA